ACGAGUUGAGGAUGUGAUGAUCCUGGACCAGUCACUAUUUUUCGGGAUGGCUGAUAUUUAUGAUAGGCACAGGGAUAUGCGUCUCGACGUUGAUAACAUGUCGUAUGAGGAAUUGUUGGCUUUGGAAGAGCGUAUUGGGAAUGUCAACACAGGACUAAGUGAAGAGACAAUAGUUGCUCGACUGAAACAAAAGAAGCGGGUGAAUGCUGUUGACUCACAGGUGGAGGAAGAACCAUGCUGUGUUUGUCAGGAGGAAUACGUUGAAGGAGAAGACAUUGGAACGCUGGAAUGCGGGCAUGACUUCCACACAGCUUGUAUUAAGCAGUGGCUGAUGCAAAAGAAUCUGUGCCCCAUAUGCAAAACAACUGGUUUGGCAAGCCGAGAAUGAGUCCUUGGUGGUUGCUGUUGCUUAAAAAAGG
rnacentral:misc_RNA from 1 species